AUUCCAGCUCCAAUAGCGUAUAUUAAUGUUGUUGCAGUUAAAAAGCUCGUAGUUGGAUUUCUGGGUUCUUCGCUAGCUUUGGUCCGCAAGGGCUUCAGUGGGCUGUUUGAAUCCAUCCUCAGGGGGACCCAUGCUGGUAUUCAUUUAUCGGUGUGGGAACGCCUGUCGUUUACUGUGAACAAAUUAGAGUGUUCAAAGCAAGGUGUACUUGAAUACAUUAGCAUGGAAUAAUAAGAUAGGACUUUGGUGGUUCUUUUUGAUAUUUUGUUGGUUUGCACGCCAAAGUAAUGAUUAAUAGGAGCAGUUGGGGGUAUUCGUAUUCAAUUGUCAGAGGUGAAAUUCUUGGAUUUAUAGAAGACGAACUACUGCGAAAGCAUUUACCAAGGAUGUUUUCAUCG
rnacentral:rRNA from 1 species